rnacentral:misc_RNA from 1 species
GAUGAAGAACGUAGCGAAAUGCGAUACGUAAUGUGAAUUGCAAAUUCAGUGAAUCAUCGAGUCUUUGAACGCACAUUGCGCCCCCUGGUAUUCCGGGGGGCAUGCCUGUCCGAGCGUCAUUGCUGCCCUCAAGCACGGCUUGUGUGUUGGGCCCCGUCCUCCGAUCCCGGGGGACGGGCCCGAAAGGCAGCGGCGGCACCGCGUCCGGUCCUCGAGCGUAUGGGGCUUUGUCACCCGCUCUGUAGGCCCGGCCGGCGCUUGCCGAUCAACCCAAAUUUUUAUCCAGGUUGACCUCGGAUCAGGUAGGGAUACCCGCUGAACUUAAGCAUAUCAAUAAGGCGGAGGA